UACGGAAGGCAGCAGUGGGGAAUAUUGCACAAUGGGCGCAAGCCUGAUGCAGCCAUGCCGCGUGUAUGAAGAAGGCCUUCGGGUUGUAAAGUACUUUCAGUCGUGAGGAAGGUGUUAAGGUUAAUAACCUUAGCAAUUGACGUUAGCGACAGAAGAAGCACCGGCUAACUCCGUGCCAGCAGCCGCGGUAAUACGGAGAGGGCUAGCGUUAUUCGGAAUUAUUGGGCGUAAAGAGCGCGUAGGCUGAUUAGUAAGUUAAAGUGAAAUCCCAAAGCUUAACUUUGGAAUUGCUUUUUAAAACUGCUAGUCUAGAGAUUGAAAGAGGAUAGAGGAAUUCCUAGUGUAGAGGUGAAAUUCGUAAAUAUUAGGAGGAACACCAGUGGCGAAGGCGUCUAUCUGGUUCAAAUCUGACGCUGAGGCGCGAAGGGCGUGGGGAGCAAAC
rnacentral:rRNA from 1 species